AGGUGCGAUCAUACCAGCACUAAUGCACAAGAUCCCAUCAUAACUUCACAGUCAAGCGUGCUCAGGCGAGAGUAGUACUAGGAAGGGUGACCUCUUGGGACGUCCUCGUCUUACACCUC
rfam:Lupinus angustifolius cultivar Tanjil contig_1795, whole genome shotgun sequence.